AUACGUAGGGGGCAAGCGUUAUCCGGAUUCAUUGGGCGUAAAGAGCGCGUAGGCGGCUUGUUUAGUCAGAUGUGAAAACCGGGGGCUCAACCCGCGGCCUGCAUCUGAAACUGACAGGCUUGAGUCUGGUAGAGGAAAGUGGAAUUCCUGGUGUAGCGGUGAAAUGCGCAGAUAUCAGGAGGAACACCAGUGGCGAAGGCGGCUUUCUGGGCCACGACUGACGCUGAGGCGCGAAAGCUAGGGGAGCGAACAGGAUUAGAUACCCUGGUAGUCCUAGCCGUAAACGAUGGGCACUAGGUGUGGGGGGUCAUCGACUCCCUCCGUGCCGAAGCUAACGCAUUAAGUGCCCCGCCUGGGGAGUACGGCCGCAAGGCUAAA
rnacentral:rRNA from 1 species